rnacentral:rRNA from 1 species
UACAGAGGGGGCAAGCGUUGUUCGGAAUUACUGGGCGUAAAGGGCGCGUAGGCGGCCUGUUAAGUCGAACGUGAAAUCCCCGGGCUCAACCCGGGAACUGCGUCCGAUACUGGCAGGCUUGAAUCCGGGAGAGGGAUGCGGAAUUCCAGGUGUAGCGGUGAAAUGCGUAGAUAUCUGGAGACACCGGUGGCGAAGGCGGCAUCCUGGACCGGCAUUGA